AAAUCUACACAUAUGAUAUACAUGAUUAUGUGUCCCUUACUGUACCAUUGGAAAAACAAAACAUGCAUUGCACACUAGAAUUAUAGAGUUUAGUUCAUGUACCUUCAGUUUGCGUUUCAUUAGUCACAUGUUAUUAUUAGAUCAAAUGUAUCAGCUGUGCUCCAUUAAUCAUUAAUUCUCAUUCCGAUCACUGUUUGUGCUAAGUGUGUUUGCUAUUGCCUGUUUGGAUUUGUUAUUAAACUUUGUCGUGUUGAACUUUAUUCAUAGUAGAGUGCUGUUGCUGUUUGGUCCAUGAACACUGAAGAAAGCCUGAGCUGAAACAUCUGCUCUUUGGUCUGUUUGUAAGACGCUUUUCACAUUUUGCACUUUUUUACUUUGCAGAUGUGAUAGACCCUUGAUUUCUUAUGCUAAUGUGAAUUGCUGGGAGUGACAUGACCUCUUUUCUAUGGGAUUGAUAGUUUACAAUCUCACCAAAUUUCUCAAACAAAAGUACUUGUCUUUGGGAACAUAAUCACUUUUCAGUUUUUUACAACAACAACAGAAAGACGUGGCUCAAGGGCAACGCUCCAGAAGCCACCAUUCAGCCUGAUCGGAUAACAUGCCACCAAGAGGAGCCUCCAGGCCCAAACCACUAGACUGAAGAACAGCUUCAUCCACCAGGCUGUCAGGGAGGGCGAGGAGAAUGAGGUGAAAGCAUGGUGGUGAGUGGACGACGAUCUCCUGGUGGCAGAGAUAGUCUGCUAGCACCGACCCCAAACCUGCGACAUGAGGGAGGCAACGUCUGGGGGACGACCGAUGGAGGCGUGGCCAAUGGAUCCACAGGUGCAGAUGGAAAGCAGACAUGAGCGACACCACUGGUACUGGAGAUCUCGGUGAUGCCGCGGUGACGACCAUCGAAGGCGAAGACAGAAUACCCGAGGAGCCGACAGGUCAACAGGCUGAGAUGGAGCGAAAAGACUGUAGGCGGGAGGUGGAGCCACAGGAUCCUCUCGCACGGGCACUGCAGGGCUGUUGACUUUCAGCAGCAGGAGGGCUGAAGGUCUGGCUGAGCUUCACGGUGAUGGUGGUAGUAAGGAACUCGACAGAGUGGCGGUUAUUAUGACACAGUCAAUAGUGCUGUUCAAAACCAGCGAUGAUGUUGAUGAAGGUACCGGGUGGGAGUUGAAAGUUCCUCACUCGUUGUCCGUUUUCAUGACUCCCUCGCCCGCUGAUGUCGAGGGCUCACACCGCUGGUCAGAUUGACGAUGGAAAUGGGAGCUUUAGCGGAAGUUCUAGCCGGAAGACUCUAAUGCACGUCAUUGCUCAUUAUCUAGCCAAUCAUUACACGUCACCUGAGUAUAUAAGUUCUGUUCCCACCCACUAUCGUGUUCACAGAUACCAUCGCCAGAGUUCAGUUCACAGUUGAUGAUGCUGACGUUCCUCACGAUGCAUGAACAGGCCUAUAAUUGUGAUUAUCUAAAUAUUCACACAGACGAUGUUAGCGGUAGUCCGAUGUACUACAAUGUGAAAAUGUUCAUUUUAGAUGGGAUAUAAUGUUUCAGUGUCAUUUGAGUUCAGGUUAGCCUAUCAUUUUGAACGUUCAUUGAAGCGGUCGCACUAUGAGAGUGAUCGUAUUCACCGUCUCAAAUUUCAGAAGUGUGCAGGUCCACCCACGGAUUCUAUUUUCGAAUUUCGUUUCAGCAAUAUCAUCAAAGGGCCUAGCUAUCAUCAAAGCAAUCUUCAAUACUCUCUCGUCAUCAUUACAACAGCCACCUCAUCUCAGUGAUAAGUAUGCUAUAUCGAGAUUGGUUUUGACGUCAUUUCCCGUUUGUUGCUGCCGCGCUGUUUGAGCCAGAGCUCCGUCGAGCUGAUUUCCUAAUUGCUUGUUUUUUCUCUUAAUAUCAAAUUUAUAACAGAUCAUUCUCUCUUUUACGCCGAGGGAACACAUCGCCUACAUUAUUUCAUAUAUAAAACACUUGGAUUGCCUUGAUAUCGCUAGUUUUAUCCGACUUCCCGAACAUUCGCUAUUAGCUUUAGCCCGCUAGCAGUAACGGCGUGGUCAUUCUAGCGUUUGUACUCUUCUCUCUCACUAUAUUAUUGUUUCAUCUACUCUAAUGGCGAGUGUAUCGGAUGUUUCUCUACCUUUGUGUGCAGGUGAGGACACGUUUGAGCUGCAUGCGGUGCAUUUGGAGCUGGAGGCCGUGGAGCGACAGAUUCGGACCCUUCUCGAGAAGCAGGCCGAGCUACACGAGCGGCAGACAGUGCUGGAAACUUCCCGUGCUGACGCUCACCGCUCCCCGGUAAGUUUACAGCGCGAUAUUAACACUCCUGCUUCCUCUACGCCGUGUGUUUCUCUGCACAGGGCCCGAGCUCCCAGAACGCGUUCAUCCCAGCCCUCGUUCACUCCGGCGCCGUCUCACCUGGGACCUUGGGUGCUUCAGCAGCGGAAGACGCGAGCCAGGCCUCGGACCAGGACCUCUCCUCCUCCGCCGCCCCCGAUCUUCGAGGUCUCGACACGACAUCGUCCGCCACGUCCACGCUACCACAGCCAAAGGUAAGGUGCGCAGUCACUGUUUUCCUGGUGCUCGUGUUCUCGAUGUCGCUGCGCAGGUUCCCGCGAUCCUCAACGGUGCUGAGACCAUCGGAGCUGUAGUGCUGCACGCGGGGGUGAACGACACCAGGCUGCGGCAGACGGAGGUGCUGAAGCAGGACUUCAGGAGCCUGAUCGAGACGGUACGAGCCUCAUCGCCCAUGACGAGGAUCAUCGUGUCCGGACCGCUUCCGACGUACCGAUGAGGACAUGAAAGGUUCAGUAGAUUAUUUGCUUUAAAUGAAUGGUUGAUGUCUUGGUGUAAUGAACAGAAGCUGCUCUUUGUAAAUAAUUGGAAUCUUUUCUGGGAGCGUCCUAGGCUCUUCCGUGCUGAUGGCCUGCACCCCAGCAGCAUCGGAGCUGAUCUUCUGUCGGAGAACAUCUCCAAGACGCUUUGCACCAUAUGACUAGUAAGUCAAACCUCAAAUCACAGUCUGUGUUCUGCCCACUUAAUUGAUAGAAAUGUGAGUGUAGUACAGUCUAUAGAAACUGUGUCUAUUCCCCGAAUAGUGAGGUCUAACAAUAAAAAUAAAUAUAGAUAUAAGUAAAAAGUCGCUACUAUCUCUUGCUUUGGCUACCGUUUAUAGACCUCCAGGGCCUUAUGCUGAUUUCCUAAAAGAGUUUGCAGACUUUCUCUUAGACCUAUUGGUCAACGUUGAUAAAGCGCUGAUUGUUGGAGAUUUUAACAUUCAUGUAGACAAUACAAAUGAUGCGUUAGGGGCUGCGUUUACAGAUUUACUAAACUCAUUUGGGGUCAAACAAAACGUCACUGGACCCACUCACCGUCUUAAUCAUACACUAGAUUUAAUUAUAUCACAUGGAAUCAAUCCAACCGAUAUAGAAAUUCUACCGCAAAGUGAUGACGUCUCUGAUCACUAUCUUGUAACAUGCGUACUGCAUGAUGAUAUUUGUCAAAUUGCGCCGCAAUAUCGACUAGGCAGAACAAUUCUCCCGACAACUAUAGAUAAAUUCACAAAUAACCUGCCUGAUCUGUCUCAGCUGCUCAUCGUACCUAAACACACACAUGAUCUCGAGAAAAUGACUAGCAGCAUGUGCACCAUUUUCACUAGUACAUUAGAUACUGUUGCACCGAUGAGAUUUAAAAAGGUUAGAGAGAAAAAUAUUGUACCAUGGUACAACAGUAUUACUCACGCUAUCAAAAGAGAAGCUCGUAAUCUAGAACGCAAAUGGAGACAAACUCGUUUAGAGGUCUUCAGAAUCGCGUGGAAAGACAGAAAACAUGGCAUUAGUUUCCACUGCUAUGCCGAUGAUACUCAGUUAUAUAUUUCAACACAAC